rnacentral:rRNA from 1 species
ACUCCUACGGGAGGCAGCAGUAGGGAAUCUUCCACAAUGGGUGCAAACCUGAUGGAGCAAUGCCGCGUGAGUGAAGAAGGUCUUCGGAUCGUAAAGCUCUGUUGUUAGAGAAGAACACGUGCUAGGUAACUACUAGCGCCUUGACGGUAUCUAACCAGAAAGUCACGGCUAACUACGUGCCAGCAGCCGCGGUAAUACGUAGGUGACAAGCGUUGUCCGGAUUUAUUGGGCGUAAAGGGAGCGCAGGCGGUCUGUUUAGUCUAAUGUGAAAGCCCACGGCUUAACCGUGGAACGGCAUUGGAAACUGACAGACUUGAAUGUAGAAGAGGAAAAUGGAAUUCCAAGUGUAGCGGUGGAAUGCGUAGAUAUUUGGAGGAACACCAGUGGCGAAGGCGAUUUUCUGGUCUAACAUUGACGCUGAGGCUCGAAAGCGUGGGGAGCGAACAGGAUUAGAAACCCUGGUAGUCCC